UUUCUUUCAGAUAGCUGACUUAUUCUGCAUGGCUGUCGUCAGCUCGUGUCGUGAGAUGUUGGGUUAAGUCCCGCAACGAGCGCAACCCUCACCCCUUGUUGCCAUCAGGUUAUGCUGGGCACUCUAGGGGAACUGCCCCGGUCAACGGGGAGGAAGGCGGGGACGACGUCAAGUCAUCAUGCCCCUUACGUCCUGGGCUACACACGUGCUACAAUGGCCGGUACAAAGGGAUGCCACACCGCGAGGUAGAGCUAAACCCAAAAAGCCGGUCUAAGUUCAGAUUGGAGUCUGCAACUCGACUCCAUGAAGGAGGAAUCGCUAGUAAUCGCGUAUCAGCACGACGCGGUGAAUACGUUCCCGGGCCUUGUACACACCGCCCGUCACACCACGAAAGCCAGCUGUACUCGAAGUCGCUGAG
rnacentral:rRNA from 1 species